AACUAAUGACAUGUCUUUUUUGUCUUCUGAUUGUACCACGUUAGUUUUGUACAAGGAGCAAGUACAUGUGUAGUACAAAGUUGGAACCUAUAACUAGAUUCCAGCCAUCUUCUUCGACGAAUACAUAGAAGUAAAUCAAGAUUGAGGUGUUUGUGGACGAUGAAGAUCACCAACGACAACUUGAAUCGAGCCAUCUCAUAAAGUUCAUGGCUAGUUAUAGCGAUGCUCUAUACAAACCAAGGCCAAUUUGACUUUGUCGUCUUCGUCGUUCACAAACACAUCGAACUAGACAUACUUCCGAGGUUACCUUGAGGAUGAACAUGAUCGCCACAAAUGCAAAACAGGUUUUUCUUUUUUUUUUUGUUGGUGACCGUAAGAAUAAAUUACUGGUAAUAAACCCACGACAUCCGCCCAAUACCUUGCUAACCAAUGAGAUCAGAAUGCGGUGACCCUCAAGGGGUUUAAAGGCAGAAAAUCAGUGGAAGCUUAAUUCGAACAUGUUUUAGGUUUGAGCAGCAUGAAAGAAGACUAUACUACAAGGAGUUUUGGAUUCCCAACUGUUGAAGCGAAUUUGGUCCAACAAGAAAUACACGCUUUGAGGUUUGGUAACGGAAAACAACGAUGCCCUUAUAUGCAGUCCUUGGUACACCAUCCUAUAUAAAAUGUAAAACCCGAGUUAUUAUUUAUUAUCGACCUUAUUUUCAACAAACGGUGAAAUGAAUAAAAG